rnacentral:tRNA from 1 species
UUCAGGAUGGCCGAGUGGUCUAAGGCGCCAGACUCAAGUUCUGGUCUCCAAUUGGAGGCGUGGGUUAAAGUCCCACUUCUGGCA